rnacentral:lncRNA from 10 species
UAGAUUUUAAACCCAGGCUGUUGGGAGGCAUAACUCGCAGCUCUCCUGGAAGUGAAUCACGAGCUUUCCUGGGUGGAGGUAGCUGGAAGAGGCACCGAACCCCACCGAUAAGACCACAGGGCAGGGCAGGGGCACCAGAAAAGACCCUCCCCGCUCUCUUGGAUGUAAGGCCGGGCCAGGUUUUGGUUGAAGGUCACAUUGCUCCUGGGUCAGAGAACUAUAACAUCAAAGCGCCUUUAUGGCACACAGCCAUGUGAAGACACAGCAAGAAGGCAGCUGUCUACAAGCCAGGGAGAGAGGCCUCACCCUAAACCACCCCUGCCAGCAUUUUCAUCUUGGACUUCAAGCCUCCAGAACUGUGUCUUCUAGAGAAACCCAAGCUAAGACAGAGACUAAAGGACAAGGAAUAUGACCAAGGUCACACUGCUGUUCAAUGCCAAAGCUGGGUCUAUGUGCUGACUCCUGACUCCUUCUGCCAACAGCUCAUUCUACUGCCCAGCACAGAGAACUUUCAUGAAUUCAUCUCUGCAUUCCAGUGGGGACAUUUAUCACCCGGUGCCCAGGCUGCAGACAUCUCCCUCCUUAAGAUCCUCCUGCCCAGAAAGGCAGCCUUGUCAAAGACAUGAAACCAUCCCCUCUGGACAUCUGGACAAGGCGCAGCCCUUUGGCCAAGCACGAGGCCGUCCCGAAUGCCUCAGACA